CGAACCCACACCUCGUGGCGCCUCUAGCGGAAAGCCGCCAUUGCGACUAGGGAAAAAAAAGUGGAAAACAAAAAAGGACGGCAAGGCAGCUUUCCUUUUUCCCCUGGUGGCCGUUUUGUGCAACAGCCUAAAUUUUCUACUCUUGCAAAAUGCAGAAGUUGCACCCACACAGCGAAACACGCAGUCGAUUUCGAUCAAUAUACAAGACGAAAAAAAAACGAACAAAAUGGCGUCGUUUACCAUUUCAAUACUAAUAUGCCAUUGUUUCUUUGUGUGUUUGUUGCCUACAUUACAAGUUUGAAAGAUACAUACAUUUCCACGAGUGGAAACAAAAAUUCUGUGAAUUAAAAAGAGAGAAACACACGGGAAUGGGUGGCCGUGUUGUGGAGCCACACAGUAUCGUGCAUCAGCCACAGAACUAACGGUUAUGGACGACGACAGAUGUUGUUAUCAGUCGAGUGGGAUCGACUGAAAACCGGUUGGUUCAAAAAGAAGCCCAGAGACAAGCAAAGAGAGUUUAUACGUUUGACUUUUAGCUCCUGGGCCUUAGCCUGGACAGGAUUUGCAUAACAUUUGAAAUUUUUGGGGGGGAAACAACCAUGUCAUCUGCUGUUCUUUUUUGUUGUUGUUUUGGGCGGCCCCCCUCCGUUUAAUGCUACAGGGUUGUUGUUUUUGUUUGUUUUUUUAGUAUACGGCAAUGAUGGCAGUUAUUCCACAUGACAGGCAGAUGAUUAGGAUUAUAUAGAAUAUGACAAGGCGUGUCUAUACGGAACGAGUCGUAUAUUAUCAUCAAACAUCAUUACCCUCUCCUUUCAUUUUUGUUUUCAUUUUUCUCCGUGUUGCUGUCAAUGGAAUUAACUUGUCAGCUCGUAAAUAAUUUUAGUAAUCAUAGGCAUAAAAAAAAAGUAAGGGGGGAAAUGACUGAUGAAAAAACAGAAGGUCCCCCAGAUUAUUGAGUCACCUAAUGCAAUUUUUUUUUUUUACGAAAUGUGAAACAAAUAUUCAUCAACUCCCUUGGUCCCAAUAUGGUGAUUGUGUGGGAGUAUGUGCAAGUCGAAUCCCGUAGUCACGCAACGUGUGUGUGUGUGUGUCUGGCGCUGCACUUUACGCUGUGGAUGUCCGAGUAAUCGACCGCACGACCGCAGAUGAAUCAGACCGCCCUCGUCGUCAGCAACUCUAAAAUAAGAAAAACUUAUUACAUCUACAACAGUGGCAAGUGAAAUUUGUAUUUUAUCAGUUGCUAUACGACCAUGGGAAGAUUUCCGUGACGAAUAAUAAUAAUAAAUAGACGCGGUUGAGUGCUAUUGUCGGUGUGAAGCCGGACAACCCUCAAAGAAAAACCUGAAUACAACAAUAAGUCAUAUAAAUUUCAAAAUAAAUUUCAAAAAAAAAAUCGAUGACAAACACAACAAUGUCCGGUUCAUUCCUUGCGCUCCUGGGAAACGACCGUUCAUCUACAGUGGCUAGGAGGGGGUUCUCGCGCACUGUACCGGUGGGGCUUCACCCCCCCCUCUCCACACAAUUCCCUCAACCACUCAAACUUUGCUGGUGAAAACAAACAAAAAGUUUCAUUUAUUUUUGUUUAAAGUUGUUUUGGUCACGCUGAUGACUCAUUGCCCUCCCCCUCCCCUCUCUUUUUUGUUUUUCAUGUUCACACAACUUGCACAACACUAAAACACGGCAUCGCUCAAACGUGUCAUACGUGAAAAUAGAACGGGAAAUCGAAAGCGAAUCAACCACACAAAAAAAGACCACCCGACUUUUUUUUUUUUAACCCCCUUCAUACUCACAAAAAAUCAAAACUUUUUGACGACAUUUUGUUCACGUGUCAAAAUAGUUCAGCAGGUACGCCGUGCACGUUGGCCGUCAUCAUUUGUCCCCACGUAAUACCAGCACCGUCCUUUUUCUUUUGGCUGUUGUUUUCUUAUUUAGCCUGGUGAUGAAAACAUGUUUUUCUUCUUCUUCUUUUUGAAGCAGGUUUAUUUUGUUUGAUCCGAUUCAGAGAUCAAGUCACGGUGCCCUCAAGUGAAUUUUAACCGCAUACGUUAGAUUUUUCUCAGUAUAGAAGAACACGGGAACCGGUUGAGCUUCGGGCAAUAGGUAAGACAGUCCCUUCAGUAUUUCUGGAAAUAUUUCUAUUUUUUAUUUCAAUCUAAAUUCUGAUAAGGUCUCCGGCAAUAAAAACAAAAAGGGAAACACACAAAAAAAAAAAAAAAUAGUUGAUGCAUCAUAAUCUUUCCAUGUUUCCUUCAUUUUUAUUCGCCGGUUUGUAAAAGACCUUGCUAGGAACGAGGAUACGCCCGAUCAAUCAAUUUUCAACUUGAUACGAGGAAGAUAGUAAACGUGAACGUUGUGUUCUGAAAAGGGAAAGAAUGGAGCAUUAUACGAUGUAAAAAAAUAAAAGACAUUGUCUUCUUUUGUCUGACUGGGUUUCAACGAAUGGCAACACAAAAAGAAAGAGCAGCGGUCCAUUUUCUUGAUCUGCGCGCGUGUUGGGCAUCGCGUCUAGCCAACAGAUUCGCUAUGUGUGUGCAUUCAAUUGGAAGCAGACCGAAUAUCAUCAAUCGGCUCAUCUCGGCUGCUCUUUUAGCUCAUUCUCUUUUUUUUUUUCUUCAAAAAACAAAAAAUGUGGAAAAGAAAAAGAAAUAUCCAGUCUGCUCCUUCCUUUUUCUUUGACGUUCUAUUUCCACUUGGAUAUUCGGUUGACGGUGAGUCGGCAAUCAUCCGCUCGACAUCAUCUCUAACACGACGUUUUUCUUUUUGGGUUUUUGCGCUAUUUCGUCACCAUGGCAACAAGAAAAAAAAAUGAUUUUCGUUUUUCACGAAACGACAUGGAAAUUGGUCAUCGCUAACGAAGAAAAUCCAAAACAAGAUUGACCGGUUCUUUCUCGAUAAAUCAUCAGCAAAGCAAAUUUUCAGAUUACACUAUAGAAUAAAAAAGAUGGAGUUGUAAUUCGCUACACGUUCGCGAGCACACAAGAGAGCUGGCACGCUUCACCGAGCAACCAACCAAAUGUUACGAUGACGAAAAAAUGCGCGGACGCGGACCACGCAAUUUUACACACACCGGGUUACGCGGAUGAUAUUUUCAAAUGAAAGGAGAGUUUUCCUAUUGUUCCGGUCACGUUUGAUUGUCUUCUAAUAUUCUCAUUCUCUACUUGAAAUCCAACACUCCCCCCUUCUUUUCCCCACUCUACAAUACACGCCUGCGCUAGCGCGCGCAUUUGAUUAUUGUUUUAUGCCAUUUUUAUGAGAUAUUUCCUCGCGGUUGUUUGUUUGGAGGUCAUUUCUUUCCCGUUUGUUGUUAAAACUUUGAGGAAUAAAUAAAAAAUAAAAAAGCGGUCGGUACUCCAUUACGUCAGUCGAGCAGCCCCGUCCAGGCAUCCUUAAUGAUUCUUAUACAUAGAUGCCUACAUAGUUAUUUUCAUCCGGCCCAGCUGCAACAGCAAAAUCCUUUUCCUCCUUUUAGCUGCCUAAAGAAAAAGAAAAAAAGAAUUUAUUAUUAUUUUUUAAAGAAUCGAGUCGGGAAAAAGUGAAGUGUGUACGUUCUCUCCUUUACAUCUCGGCUGGCCUCUUUUUGGUCUUUAAAACAAUGCCGAAAUCCGAGUUGGAUCGUCCAAACAAUUCGGCGAAUGUGUUCGGGUUAAGGUCUCCUUUUCUGUUUGAUGUGAGCACAAGCAAAACAAAGGCAAGCGCUUCCACAUAUUUGUUUAUUUAGCCGUGAAGUUGCGUACUGAGUUUGGGUCCUGACGGUGGGGGAUCGAAUUACCUGGGUGGUGCAAGGAUACGCUUGACGGCUGCCUCGUCCGCUUUCCCAAGUGCAGGGUUUGAUCCCAAUGUUCGCACACUAUAUCAUCAUCAGCAUCGAGAACGUGUCAAAUGUGCCUUAACAAGGAAUCCAAAGCCGAUGACAAAAGAGGACGUGACUCAAAUAACUUGGAAUUUGAUCAAUCUACCGACAAAUAUGGCGCCCAUCUACGCCGCAGUUGUUGAAUCCCUACAGUGGGAAAGAGGCGGUCAAAAGCCGAUCCGGUUAACAGGCCACCCAACGUAUUUUGGAUUCCAUUUCUCGUUCUCCUAAAUUCCUGUUUAUUCAAAAGGCAACUGGAUUUAAAAAUAAAAAAAAAUAAAAAAUAGUACAUUUAGAAAAUAA